rnacentral:rRNA from 1 species
GACAGAGGUCCCAAGCGUUAGGCGGAAUCACUGGGCUUAAAGCGUGUGUAGGCGGAUUUGUAAGUACCUUGUGAAAUCCCACGGCUCAACCGUGGAACUGCUUGGUAUACUGCUUAUCUUGGGCCACCUAGGGGCGAGCGGAACAAACGGUGGAGCGGUGAAAUGCGUAGAUAUCGUUUGGAACGCCAAUGGUGAAAACAGCUCGCUGGGGAUGUGCCGACGCUGAGAUACGAAAGCCAGGGGAGCGAACGGG